rnacentral:rRNA from 1 species
AUGACAAGCAUGGAGGGCGUGGUGAUCAAGCACCGGACUGUGGAGGUCAAUGACAUCUCGAUGCACGUGGCGGAGGCCGGCCCCGAGGGGCACUCCAAGGGGACUGUGUUGUUCCUACACGGUUUCCCGGAGCUAUGGUACACGUGGCGCCACCAGAUGGAGAAUCUGGCAGCACGCGGCUACCACUGCGUCGCGCCUGACCUCCGUGGCUAUGGCGGUACCACCGCCCCGUCCGACGUGGAAUCUUACACUGCCUUCCAUAUCGUCGGUGACAUCGUCGCGCUUCUCAAUACCCUCGGGCUUGCAAAGGUGUUUGUGGUGGGACAUGACUGGGGGGCACUGAUCGCGUGGUACGUGUGCCUAUUCCGGCCGGACCGCGUCACGGCGCUUGUCAACACCAGCCUCGCCUUCAUCCGCAACAUCAUCGCACGCAACGGACCCGGCUUCGUGAAGCCCACCGACUACUUCAACCGCGCCUACGGCCCCGACUACUACAUGUGCCGCUUCCAGGAGCCUGGGGUCGCCGAGGCGCGGCAGUUCGCACCGGCGCACGCUAGGCGCCUCCUGCGGCAGAUCAUGUGCCACUGCUUCAGCCACGGCGUGGCCUGUGAGGAGGAAAUGCACGACAACAAGUACCCGACGUCUACGCUCCCUCCUUGGCUCACCGAGGAAGACGUGGACUACUUUGGCGCCGAGUUCGAGAGGACUGGGUUCACUGGCGGCAUCAACUACUACCGCAACCUGGACAGGAACUGCGAGCUGGCUGCGGCGUGGGCGGACGCCAAGGUGCAGGUGCCGACCAAGUAUGUGGUGGGUGAAGGUGAAAUCACGUACCACUUCGAGGGGGUUCGGGAGUACAUCCACGGGGGCGGGUUCAAGGAGGACGUGCCACUGCUAGAGGAGGUGGUCGUCCUCCCCGGCGCCGGCCACUUCAUCCAGCUGGAGAGGGCACAGGAGGUCAGUGAUCAUAUCUACGACUUCAUCAUCAAGUUCUCACCUCCAACCUAA